GGUGGGAGGCUUUGAAGCGUGGACGCCAGUCUGCGUGGAGCCGACCUUGAAAUACCACCCUUUAAUGUUUGAUGUUCUAACGUGGACCCGUAAUCCGGGUUGCGGACAGUGUCUGGUGGGUAGUUUGACUGGGGCGGUCUCCUCCUAAAGAGUAACGGAGGAGCACGAAGGUUGGCUAAUCCUGGUCGGACAUCAGGAGGUUAGUGCAAUGGCAUAAGCCAGCUUGACUGCGAGCGUGACGGCGCGAGCAGGUGCGAAAGCAGGUCAUAGUGAUCCGGUGGUUCUGAAUGGAAGGGCCAUCGCUCAACGGAUAAAAGGUACUCCGGGGAUAACAGGCUGAUACCGCCCAAGAGUUCAUAUCGACGGCGGUGUUUGGCACCUCGAUGUCGGCUCAUCACAUCCUGGGGCUGAAGUAGGUCCCAAGGGUAUGGCUGUUCGCCAUUUAAAGUGGUACGCGAGCUGGGUUUAGAACGUCGUGAGACAGUUCGGUCCCUAUCUGCCGUGGGCGCUGGAGAACUGAGGGGGGCUGCUCCUAGUACGAGAGGACCGGAGUGGACGCAUCACUGGUGUUCGGGUUGUCAUGCCAAUGGCACUGCCCGGUAGCUAAAUGCGGAAGAGAUAAGUGCUGAAAGCAUCUAAGCACGAAACUUGCCCCGA
rnacentral:rRNA from 2 species